UUUAUUGGAAUUUUUGUUAGUCAUAGGCCUUGCAUGAUCUUUAGGGCACUGCUCUAGAGCUCAUGCGGCCGGUCACGUACCGGACCCGGGUGCUGGGUUCGGGGCGUGACAGAGUGGUAUCAGAGCUUAAGGUUAAGGUAUCCUAGGGUUUAUGUUCAGGUGAGUAUCAGUGUAGAAUUAUGAUAGCAAAACUAUUAGAGAUUUGGUUUAUAAUUACUUGAGAUUGUAACAAGAAUGAUAUUAUAAUCUAAGGUUUAAGACCACUAGGGACUGUGGCCUUAGUGGCAUUAAA
rnacentral:lncRNA from 1 species